rnacentral:sRNA from 1 species
AAGGAGCCUUGGAGGAAGCAGGAAUGUUAACGCGUUUGCAAACCGCUUUAAAAAUUGAAGCGAUUGCAGAACCUUAC